rnacentral:rRNA from 1 species
GACGGAGGAUGCAAGGGUUAUCCGGAAUCACUGGGCGUAAAGCGUCUGUAGGUGGUCCAAUAAGUCAACUGUUAAAUCUUGAGGCUCAACCUCAAAAUCGCAGUCGAAACUAUUAGACUAGAGUAUAGUAGGGGUAAAGGGAAUUUCCAGUGGAGCGGUGAAAUGCGUAGAGAUUGGAAAGAACACCGAUGGCGAAGGCACUUUACUGGGCUAUUACUAACACUCAGAGACGAAAGCUAGGGUAGCAAAUGGG